rnacentral:SRP_RNA from 1 species
CCGGAAGGAAGCAUCGGGAGCGGCCUUCUGCCAGUGUCGCGUUCAGGCGC